rnacentral:lncRNA from 10 species
ACAUCUGGCUUUGACACUUUCUAGUUAUGUGACCUUUGAAUCUCAGCAUUCCACCAAGACAAUCUCCAAAAAAGGAAAAGCAAAUGAGCAGGGCUGUUUCUGAGGAUAUGAAAUACUUUACAAUUAAAUAAGGAAGAAGAGGAAACAUUCCAGACAGAAGCAAUCUCUUACUGCAAGAGAAUAAGAAGUAAUAAGAAUUUUCAUCAUUUGAAAUGCAGCCAUGUGGCAAUUUUAUCCAUCCAGAACAACUGACAUACAGUAAAUACUUAACAUGUAGCAGAUUCUGCUGUGUUUUUUGAUGUCUUGUUAUAUUAAAUCUCUUCAACCACACUAUGAGAUUCCAUUCCCUUACCUGUGAAGUGCGGAUGGUUGUGUGGUUGCUGAGGUGCUGUCCAGCUUGGACAUCGAGGAAUUGUAUGAGCACCUUUGAUUGCCUUGCAUGCAGAAACAACUCUGAACCCAGCAGUGUUACUUAGAUUUCACAGAAAAGGGAGGCAGAGAGGAAGAUGUUAGUCAGGACAAGACCAGAACAAAACAAGCGGCCCUAUGUCUAAGUGUUGCUGACCACACUCCAG